UACGUAGGGCGCAAGCGUUGUCCGGAAUUAUUGGGCGUAAAGAGCUCGUAGGCGGCUUGUCACGUCGAUUGUGAAAGCCCGGGGCUUAACUCCGGGUCUGCAGUCGAUACGGGCUAGCUAGAGUGUGGUAGGGGAGAUCGGAAUUCCUGGUGUAGCGGUGAAAUGCGCAGAUAUCAGGAGGAACACCGGUGGCGAAGGCGGAUCUCUGGGACGGUACUGACGCUGAGACGCGAAAGCGUGGGGAGCGAACAGG
rnacentral:rRNA from 1 species